CCUACGGGUGGCUGCAGUGGGGAAUAUUGGACAAUGGGCGAAAGCCUGAUCCAGCCAUGCCGCGUGUGUGAAGAAGGCCUUCGGGUUGUAAAGCACUUUCAGUGGGGAAGAAAGCCUUAGGGCUAAUACCCUCGAGGAAGGACAUCACCCACAGAAGAAGCACCGGCUAACUCCGUGCCAGCAGCCGCGGUAAUACGGAGGGUGCGAGCGUUAAUCGGAAUUACUGGGCGUAAAGCGCGCGUAGGCGGUCUGAUAAGCCGGUUGUGAAAGCCCCGGGCUCAACCUGGGAACGGCAUCCGGAACUGUCAGGCUAGAGUGCAGGAGAGGAAGGUAGAAUUCCCGGUGUAGCGGUGAAAUGCGUAGAGAUCGGGAGGAAUACCAGUGGCGAAGGCGGCCUUCUGGACUGACACUGACGCUGAGGUGCGAAAGCGUGGGUAGCAAACAGGAUUAGAUACCCGGGUAGUC
rnacentral:rRNA from 1 species